UGCCAGCCGCCGCGGUAAUACUGAAGGUGCAAGCGUUAAUCGGAAUCACUGGGCGUAAAGCGCUCGUAGGUGGCUUUGUAAGUCAGAUGUGAAAGCCCACGGCUCAACCGUGGAAUUGCAUUUGAUACUGCAUCGCUAGAGUCUCGGAGAGGUUGGCGGAAUUCCAGGUGUAGGAGUGAAAUCCGUAGAUAUCAGAAGGAACACCGGUGGCGAAGGCGACUUCCUGGACUAUUACUGACACUGAGGAGCGAAAGCGUGGGGAGCAAACAGGAUUAGAUA
rnacentral:rRNA from 1 species